UCUAAUGUGGCAGAUUAGUGCAACGGAUUUAAGCCCCGAAAAUAAAGGAUUACUUUCUUUAGAA
rnacentral:tRNA from 1 species